rnacentral:rRNA from 1 species
GUCUCAGUUCAGAUUGCAGGCUGCAACCCGCCUGCAUGAAGUCGGAAUUGCUAGUAAUCGCGGAUCAGCAUGCCGCGGUGAAUACGUUCCCGGGCCUUGUACACACCGCCCGUCACACCAUGGGAGCCGGAAAUACCCGAAGUCAGUAGUCCAACCUCGUGAGGACGCUGCCGAAGGUAGGAUUGGCGACUGGGGUGAAGUCGUAACAAGGUAAC